UACGGAGGGUGCAAGCGUUAUCCGGAUUCACUGGGUUUAAAGGGUGCGUAGGUGGGCAGGUAAGUCAGUGGUGAAAUCCCCGAGCUCAACUUGGGAACUGCCAUUGAUACUAUCUUUCUUGAAUACCGUGGAGGCUAGCGGAAUAUGUCAUGUAGCGGUGAAAUGCUUAGAUAUGACAUAGAACACCGAUUGCGAAGGCAGCUGGCUACACGAAUAUUGACACUGAGGCACGAAAGCGUGGGGAUCAAACAGGAUUAGAUACCCUGGUAGUCCACGCCCUAAACGAUGGAUACUCGACAUAUGCGAUACACUGUAUGUGUCUGAGCGAAAGCAUUAAGUAUCCCACCUGGGAAGUACGACCGCAAGGUUG
rnacentral:rRNA from 1 species